ACUCUCGGUUUAUAGUACCACUUUGUUCGCCAUCCAAGCUCAAUGAUGAAGGUCUUCUUCCUGCUCGCACUCCUCAUGGCCAUCGUUUUCAGCACGUCGGCAGCUGAUAGCCAUGAUCAUAAUGGACCUCAUGAUCAUCAUGAGCAUGCUAUAGCCGCAGAUCCUGUACAUCAGAGGAUCGUCCGUGCCGCAGGCCCUGCGCAGAACGGAAAGGAACCAGGAAAGGAAGCACCCAAAGCCUGUUGCGGUUAAACAGCUCAGCAUUGCAUUGCUGAGCAUCAUAAUCUAUGCAAUGUGCAACGUGCAGCGCUCCUUUCUCAAAAUAAAGCCAGAAUAUUUUUGAAAAUCCACAAAA